rnacentral:tRNA from 1 species
GCCUUCGCGGUGUAGUGGUCAGCACGCUCGACACGAAUUCGAGAGGUUCGUGGUUCGAGUCCGGGCGAGGGCA